GYUAUUUUGGCAGAAAAGUNCCAUGAAUUUAGAAUUCAUUUAUAUAAGGUUAUWCCUUAUAAAUAGUA
rnacentral:tRNA from 1 species